rnacentral:rRNA from 1 species
AACGAACGCUGGCGGCAGGCCUAACACAUGCAAGUCGAACGUGAAGCCACCUUCGGGUGGUGGAAAGUGGCAGACGGGUGAGUAACGCGUGGGAACGUGCCUUUCGGUUCGGGAUAACCCAGGGAAACUUGGGCUAAUACCGGAUACGCCCUCCGGAGGAAAGAUUCAUUGCCGAAAGAUCGGCCCGCGUCGGAUUAGCUAGUUGGUGGGGUAAAAGCCUACCAAGGCGACGAUCCGUAGCUGGUCUGAGAGGAUGACCAGCCACACUGGGACUGAGACACGGCCCAGACUCCUACGGGAGGCAGCAGUGGGGAAUAUUGGACAAUGGGCGCAAACCUGAUCCAGCCAUGCCGCGUGGGUGAAGAAGGCCCUAGGGUUGUAAACCCCUUUCAGCGGGGAAGAUAAUGACGGUACCCGCAGAAGAAGCCCCGGCUAACUCCGUGCCAGCAGCCGCGGUAAUAC